rnacentral:misc_RNA from 1 species
UUAUUACAUCCACUAUCUAUUGAAUGCUGGGAAGAGGGGUGUAGGGUGAUACCUUAAGUCAUUUGACUAAGUCUUGUUUUAUACUAUCAAAGGAAUACUGGAAACCUGCACUGUCGCUAAAAUUGUUUUGAUGAAGAGCGCAUUCAUACAAGCAUUAAUUCAUAUUAUAUAAAUAAAUUCCAUCAAAGUAACUGAUCAUUAAAAAAAAAAAAAAUACUAGUGUUCUACUCUUCAUUACAUUAUUUUAGUCCAUUCAUUCUUAAUAAAACCUUUAGAUUCCAACUCAAAUCACGAAAUGUUAUACAUAAUUAUAUAUUGACCAACAAUGCAAUUGGCCCUUUAUUCCACAUCCAAAACACACCACCAAAGACUUAUUCUAAACACUGAAUAAGUACAUAUAAAAAAGCUCACAAUAGAUAAAUAACCAAAUCCAGUGCAGAUUAUGAUGCCUCAUCUCCAAACACCUUAGUAAUUUUCUCAGUGGGCAACAAAGGCAAAUAAGAGGACACUCUAUAUCCCUGCUCAGUAGUGCCACGAACAACAUCGUUGUACUUUUCAGAGAAAUAAACAGCGGUUGGCACAACUACAUUUGCCACUUGAGGAACUAGUGGCAGCUUAUUGAGGGCACGCCAGGUAAUGACCGCAUAUUGCUCAGCUUUUGGUUCAAGAUUAGCGUACAGAGCUUUUGCGCCUUCCUGCACACCAGUGUUGAAAACUGAAGAAGCCACAUCAAGAACAAUUCUUGGAGCAUCUUGAGCUACCGAGUAAGUUUGGGCAGACACCUGCUUGAUAACUGGGGGAACAACGCCAUCUAGGCUAGUGACCGAUACAUCCACCGUUUUGUCUACAAACUUGACAGCCUCAAGGGGAAUAUAAUAAACAGGAGUAACCACGGUCUUCACCACAUUCUCAAUAGUAUCGACACCAGGUUUUAAUGGACCAGAUAUGUCCUUGGCAUAAAGGUAGAGAGUUGAGAAAGAAUCUACAGCAUAAACUCCAGCCGCUCGCACAAAAUCCAAAUACUUUAGCCUCUCUUCCUCCACCUCUUCAGCCAUAAUUGAAAAUUUCCUUUAAAAAUCACAAAUUCAAAACGCAGUCGCUGAAGUUUGAAAAAAGAUUUGCCUUUCGGAAAACACUGUGGAAG